rnacentral:rRNA from 1 species
UACGUAGGGUGCGAGCGUUGUCCGGAAUUAUUGGGCGUAAAGAGCUCGUAGGCGGUGUGUCACGUCGAUCGUGAAAACUUUCAGCUUAACUGGGAGCUUGCGGUCGAUACGGGCAUCACUGGAGUUCGGCAGGGGAGACUGGAAUUCAAGGUGUAGCGGUGAAAUGCGCAGAUAUCUUGAGGAACACCGGUGGCGAAGGCGGGUCUCUGGGCCGAUACUGACGCUGAGGAGCGAAAGCGUGGGGAGCGAACAGGAUUAGAUACCCUGGUAGUCCACGCCGUAAACGGUGGGCACUAGGUGUGGGGGCCAUUCCACGGUCUCUGUGCCGCAGCUAACGCAUUAAGUGCCCCGCCUGGGGAGUACGGCCGCAAGGCUAAA